GGAGGGGUGCCCGAGUGGUUUAAGGGAACGGUCUUGAAAACCGUCGUGCGUUUCGGCGUACCGUGGGUUCGAAUCCCACCCCCUCCGCCA
rnacentral:tRNA from 1 species